GACGGAGGAUGCAGGUGUUAUCCGGAAUCACUGGGCGUAAAGGCGUCUGUAGGUGGUUUAAUAAGUCAACUGUUAAAUCUUGAGGCUCAACCUCAAAAUCGCAGUCGAAACUAUUAGGCUAGAGUAUAGUAGGGGUAAAGGGAAUUUCCAGUGGAGCGGUGAAAUGCGUAGAGAUUGGAAAGAACACCGAUGGCGAAGGCACUUUACUGGGCUAUUACUAACACUCAGAGACGAAAGCUAGGGUAGCAAAUGGGG
rnacentral:rRNA from 1 species